ensembl:snoRNA
GCCUGGUGGUUCCUGGAGUCGGCUCUGAAGUGCUGAACUUUAGGUUUUUAAUAACAGGCAAACAUUGAUUUCUGUGAUUUUAUGCAUGGAAGCUGCCUCUAUAGCAGCGCUCCAUAGCCCGGUCGCAGAUACACUU